rnacentral:rRNA from 1 species
UACAGGGGGGGGCAAGCGUUUGUUCGGAAUUACUGGGCGUAAAGGGUUUGUAGGUGGCUUGCUAAGUCAGACGUGAAAUCCCUCAGCUUAACUGGGGAACUGCGUCUGAUACUGGAUGGCUUGGAUUUGGGAGAGGGAUGCGGAAUUCCAGGUGUAGCGGUGAAAUGCGUAGAUAUCUGGAGGAACACCGGUGGCGAAGGCGGAUCUCUGGGCCAUUACUGACGCUGGAGGAGCGAAAGCGUGGGGAGCGAACAGG